AAUUGUGACAACCAGGGAUGAAGGAACCCCACUUUGGGGCUUCAGAAGCUUGGAAUUUUUGAAUGAUCCUAUGGAAGAAAGAUAGGUGGGGGCCCAGAGCAGGCUUAAUCUGAUUUAGGGAAAUAAGUAUGACACAAAGUCAGUGAUCAUCAAAUAUUUCACAUGCCUCUCUCCAUUCCCCAGCCUCCCUUGCAGUUAGGUUGGAAUUAUGUGACCAGUUCUGGGUAAUGGACCAUGAAUGGGAGUGACAUGUGCUCCUCCAUCCCUCUCCUCCCAACAUAACAGCCUUUAAAGCUGUUUGUUCCAGAUGGAGUUGCUACAAGAGAGUGGAGAGUCACCUGGCCCAAAUCGAACUUCAUAAUGCCUCUCUAGCCUAACUACUGCAAUUGCUGCUACUGCCGGUUCUAGCUGCGGCAAUACACUGCCUUAGCUGCUAUCUGGGGAUGAAGAAGUGACCACCAAAAUUACUGGAUGCCGGACCAUGCUCUGCUGCCAGAUCAUCACUAGCAAAAUGGAUGUGUCCCAUGCCGCUGCCUCUCUCCCACUUAAUUCAGUUCGAAACUCAAGCCACACACCUGUGCAUUUCAUGGGAUGAAUUUCAUAAACAUCUGUAACGGUAGCUGCAAAGGGGUCUCGGAAGUGUAGUUUUUAGCAUUGGUACCCCAGCGGAUGGAACAGAUUAAGGUGAACUAAGUUUUUCUAGGGAAACUAAGUAAUUCUCUCAGGACUGUUCUACUCUCAUAGAAUUGGGAGAUAUCAUGUAGAAGCCAUAGAAUGCUCAGAGAAGUGGCUUGCCAGCAUCUCUCCCUUCCAGUGGUGAUGACUAUGAAUCUCACUGCUUAUUUUAACCAUACAGUGCCUUUCUAAACAUCUCUGUCAAUCAGAUGAAGUCUGAAUAUUCAGUGGCCUAUUAUUCUAUUGUCAGGAGACCACAUGUGAUACAGAAUGUACUAGUAUGAGGCUUCGAAUGUGCCAUUUCAUACCACUUUCCCAUUUUGAGGAGUUCUACUUCCCUUUUUCAAAGAAAAAGUCAAAACUUUCCAAUUAACCUUGGUAGAGAGCACCCUAUGUCACAGUGUCCAGAAGAAUACUUACUUAUUGAGCACCCACUGUGUACCAGACUCUGUUCAGGGUGCUAGGGAUACAAUAGUGAUGAGAAUAACAACCUGGUUUAUAAGGUUCUUACCUUCUGGAGACUUUAUGUCAUAAAAGAUUUUCUGCUUUUGAUAAAGUAAAUGAAUAUGGCUAUGAAAGACAUCUGAAAAAUCAUAAUCUCUUAUUCCAUAAUCCAAGGUGACUUUACUAAAAAGAGAUCCUUGAAAGGAGGUGCAAAGCAGACAUGAGUGCUGGCCUUGGGAAGUAGGAAAGGUGCUCUUUUUAAAAGUUUUGCUAAGUCUCUACUGCAGACAUUGUUGGUCCCCACUCAUCCCUUUGACCUACCCAAAAGAUCACUUGCAGAUAGUGCCUGUAAAUACCAA